rnacentral:lncRNA from 1 species
AAAGGAAACUGAAGAAGGUCAAUCUAGAAUGAUACUUGCUGGAUGGAUUGAAAAAGUGAAGCUUUAGCAGCAAGUAGAAAAACUGAAGCAUCAGGUGCAGUAACUCAUCCAUUCAGUGAAAAGGUUCUUCCCAUGUCCCUAAUCUCAGAAAUGCAUUCUGAAAUUUCGAAGAAACAAGACAUUACACAAGUACAUGGCUUCACUACCAAGGGGAAGGGCAAAAGACCAUCUUUGAUUUAAUUCCAGGCUUCAGUGUCUAAUUCUGUGGCAAAGAUAGCUCAUGAAUUCUUUGUUCCUCUGCCAAGCUCAACAGAGAUAAGUAGCCUUGCUCUGGGAAUAUGAGUUUGAUGAUUGGGUUGCAUGAACCCUGGAAGCCUGGAAUAUUCAUCUAUUUUCACAUUCUUCUGUCCUUCCUGACUGCAGCACUCCCCAAACCUACAUGGAAGAGCUAAAAUCAAUUCUGGUAAAUCUCAUCAACUUCUAGGACACUGUGGUAGAUUUCCUUCAGUUUAGUCUCUAGCAUUAACUGGAAGAAACAUUUUCUUACUCAGUCACUACAUUUGUCAUGAAAUAAUGCUAUGGGUGAAUGCUGCACGAAAUGAUAGAGAUUAACAGUUUUACAAAGACUAAAACAGACCUGAGGAGAAAUAUAGCAGGUUUAAGUAAUUUCCCAUGGGGAAAUGAAAACUCUGAAUCCAAAGUCCUUAAAUUAGCUACUACACUAUGGUUCACAAGAUGAAAUGGACUGGUGCAUGGCAGUGCAUUUUUAAAUUGUGAUGCUUUCUAUCAGUAAACUCUUUGUAAGUGAAAGUAAAAACUGAGCAUGUUGAGAAAGGAGCAUAUAUUUUUAAUAUCCAUAGAAGUGCAAAACUUUGCUGGGUAGCGUUGUAGGAAUGUUUUUCCACAUGCCAUGACGACAUUUGUUUUGCAUUUUAGUCCAU